rnacentral:rRNA from 1 species
CGGCGCGCCUAACACAUGCAAGUCGAACGAAGUUACUUUUCCUGAAUUUUUCGGAAGGAAGGAGCUGUAACUUAGUGGCGGACGGGUGAGUAACGCGUGAGUAACCUGCCUUUCAGAGGGGGAUAACGUUUGGAAACGAACGCUAAUACCGCAUAACAUAUUGGAGUCGCAUGGCUUUGAUAUCAAAGGAGCAAUCCGCUGAGAGAUGGACUCGCGUCCAAUUAGCUAGUUGGUGAGGUAAAGGCCCACCAAGGCGACGAUUGGUAGCCGGACUGAGAGGUUGAACGGCCACAUUGGGACUGAGACACGGCCCAGACUCCUACGGGAGGCAGCAGUGGGGAAUAUUGCACAAUGGGGGAAACCCUGAUGCAGCGACGCCGAGUGAGGGAAGAAGGUUUUCGGAUUGUAAACCUCUGUCCUUGGUGAAGAUAAUGACGGUAGCCAAGGAGGAAGCUACGGCUAACUACGUGCCAGCCGCCGCAGUAAAAC